rnacentral:rRNA from 1 species
UACGUAGGGUGCAAGCGUUAAUCGGAAUUACUGGGCGUAAAGCGUGUGUAGGCGGAUCGUUAAGUGCCUUGUGAAAUCCCACGGCUCAACCGUGGAACUGCUUGGCAUACUGGCGGUCUUGAGCAACCUAGGGGCGAGCGGAACAAAUGGUGGAGCGGUGAAAUGCGUAGAUAUCAUUUGGAACGCCAAUGGUGAAAACAGCUCGCUGGGGGUUUGCUGACGCUGAGACACGAAAGCCAGGGGAGCAAACGGG